AUUAAAAUCAUGUCAUCUGUUCUCUGUUUUUUAUUUUUUGUUCUCUUUUUUUCUCGUACUUGUUCUUUGUCAGUUUCGUUGCAUCAGCUGAGUUAUGUACUCCACCAUCAAUUUCAUCAAAAUACUCGAUUCUUCACGCAUGAUUCGGGUGAAUCAUAUAUUCUAAAGUUCUGGUUGAGAUAUACUUGGAGGAGAUCAUGAACAGCCCCAUGGCCUAGGGUGAUCUUCUAAUGCAUAUGAUUCAAAACCUAGAAGCAACUCUAAGAGUCGGUGUCGUUCCUAACGCUCCACAGUUUAAUCCUCAACCACAAGAUUUUGGAGCUUUUAGCAAAGAGAAAGAGGAAAGUCCAAAAUCAUUUAACAACCCCAACGAGAAUAACUCUAAAACUGAGAAAGCUUCCAAAUCUAGAGAUGCAAAAACCUCAGUUCAUAUUGAAAAACGUGUUACUGGUUGUUCAACCUUCAGCUAGUAAAGAGAAGAUAAAAGAGGACCCACUUGGUGAUGCUAGGACCAAGAUUCAGGAAGAGAUUACUCGUAAAUUUGCAGCUGAUCUCAUUUCACAAGGCACAUUAAGAGCAAGUGAAGCAGCUACUAUAGCUACCAAAAAAGCGAGGCUAAGAGU